UAAAAAUGCAAUAUCCGUAAAGUCUGAAAAUAUAAGAAACACGUUCCCAUUGAGUGAAUUAAUUUAGGAUUAAGCUCAAUUAAGUAUUUAGAUGAAAAUAAAAAUUCUGAUAAAAAAGCCGAUAAUAAUAUCGGCUUUUUUACU
rnacentral:sRNA from 1 species